rnacentral:rRNA from 1 species
CAUGUCCGCGUGUGUGAAGAAGGCCUUCGGGUUGUAAAGCACUUUCAGCGAGGAGGAAAGGUUGUCGGUUAAUACCCGACAGCUGUGACGUUACUCGCAGAAGAAGCACCGGCUAACUCCGUGCCAGCAGCCGCGGUAAUACGGAGGGUGCGAGCGUUAAUCGGAAUUACUGGGCGUAAAGCGCAUGCAGGCGGCCAAGUCAGUCAGAUGUGAAAGCCCCGGGCUCAACCUGGGAAUUGCAUUUGAUACUGCUUGGCUAGAGUCCUUGAGAGGGGGGUAGAAUUUCAGGUGUAGCGGUGAAAUGCGUAGAGAUCUGAAGGAAUACCAGUGGCGAAGGCGGCCCCCUGGCAAGAGACUGACGCUCAGAUGCGAAAGCGUGGGGAGCAAACAGGAUUAGAUACCCUGGUAGUCCACGCCGUAAACGAUGUCUAUUAGGAGUCUGUGGCCUUGAGCUGUGGGUUCCAAAGCUAACGCA